rnacentral:rRNA from 1 species
CGUCUAUAUACGUAUAGCAUAUCAAUAAGCGGAGGAAAAGAAACUAACAAGGAUUCCCCUAGUAACGGCGAGUGAAGCGGGAAGAGCUCAAAUUUGAAAUCUUAAAGGGUUUCCCUUUACGAAUUGUAGUUUAAAGAAGUGUUUUCUGUUGGAGUUUCGGUAAAAGUUCUUUGGAAUAGGACAUCAUAGAGGGUGAGAAUCCCGUAUUUGACCAUUAUUUCCAACUUUGUGAUACACUUUCAAAGAGUCGGAUUGUUUGGGAAUGCAGUCCAAAAUGGGUGGUAAAUUUCAUCUAAAGCUAAAUACUGGCGAGAGACCGAUAGCGAACAAGUACCGUGAGGGAAAGAUGAAAAGAACUUUGAAAAGAGAGUUAAACAGUACGUGAAAUUGUCAAAAGGGAAGCGUUUGACACCAGUGUUGUUUUCUCGAAAAUCAAUUAAAAAUGGUGGGAUGUUGUGUUGUAUUGACUUUAUCAGCUUUCUGCACUUUUUUUCCUAUCUUUUUUAAUGCACUUUUCGUUUAACAAGUCAACAUCAAUUUCUUUUGUUGUAAAAGAGUCAUUGGAAGGUGGCUUUCUUUUCGGAGAAAGUGUUUAUAGCCUUUGGCUUCUGCAAUCGGAGAGAUUGAGGUCUGCAGCGUAGAUCCUUCGGGGUUAGAUGCAUUUGUGCUAAGUUAUAGCCUUUCAUAGACAACUUGUUGACUAUGAUCAGUCAUGUAGCUUACUCGCUUAUGUCAUUUUACCUACGCUUAGGAUGUUGAUAUGCAUGACUGAUAU